rnacentral:rRNA from 1 species
AUUGGACGCUGGCGGCAUGCCUUACACAUGCAAGUCGAACGGCAGCACGGGAGCAAUCCUGGUGGCGAGUGGCGAACGGGUGAGUAAAGUAUCGGAACGUGCCCAGUCGUGGGGGAUAACGUAGCGAAAGUUACGCUAAUACCGCAUACGAUCUAUGGAUGAAAGCGGGGGAUCGCAAGACCUCGCACGAUUGGAGCGGCCGAUAUCAGAUUAGGUAGUUGGUGGGGUAAAGGCUCACCAAGCCGACGAUCUGUAGCUGGUCUGAGAGGACGACCAGCCACACUGGGACUGAGACACGGCCCAGACUCCUACGGGAGGCAGCAGUGGGGAAUUUUGGACAAUGGGCGCAAGCCUGAUCCAGCCAUGCCGCGUGCAGGAUGAAGGCCUUCGGGUUGUAAACUGCUUUUGUACGGAACGAAAAGGUUUGGCUUAAUACGUUGAACUCAUGACGGUACCGUAAGAAUAAGCACCGGCUAACUACGUGCCAGCCGCCGCAGUAA